GAAAAAAAGAAAAAAAAAAGAUUUGAGAAAAGACAUACAAAGUCACCUUUAAAAAAGGCAGGUCCCCCAGCAGCCCAUUUUUUUUUCCCUCCUAUCGCAUUUAAGUCAUGUGUAUGGGAUCAUGAAGCAGGUGAUAAUUUGGGAUUUUGUCAGUGUGUGCUUCUGAGAGUGAAUGGUUCACAGCUGACAAGCAUCCAACAGAACCAGUUACACAGGAGAUUGAGGAGUGGCUGUCAUGGCUGUGACAGUGCAUGAUCUCAAGUUUUCAAUCUGUUACC
ensembl:scaRNA